AUUGAACGCUGGCGGCAUGCCUUACACAUGCAAGUCGAACGGUAACAGGUCUUCGGAUGCUGACGAGUGGCGAACGGGUGAGUAAUACAUCGGAACGUGCCUAGUAGUGGGGGAUAACUACUCGAAAGAGUGGCUAAUACCGCAUGAGAUCUACGGAUGAAAGCAGGGGAUCGCAAGACCUUGUGCUACUAGAGCGGCCGAUGGCAGAUUAGGUAGUUGGUGGGAUAAAAGCUUACCAAGCCGACGAUCUGUAGCUGGUCUGAGAGGAGGAUCAGCCACACUGGGACUGAGAAACGGCCCAGGCUCCUACGGGAGGCAGCAGUGGGGAAGUUUGGACAAUGGGCGCAAGCCUGAUCCAGCAAUGCCGCGUGCAGGAUGAAGGCCUUCGGGUUGUAAACUGCUUUUGUACGGAACGAAAAGCCCCGGGUUAAUACCCUGGGGUCAUGACGGUACCGUAAGAAUAAGCACCGGCUAACUACGUGCCAGCCGCCGCCGUAA
rnacentral:rRNA from 1 species